rnacentral:rRNA from 1 species
AUUGAACGCUGGCGGCAUGCCUUACACAUGCAAGUCGAACGGCAGCACGGGAGCAAUCCUGGUGGCGAGUGGCGAACGGGUGAGCAAUAUAUCGGAACGUGCCCAGUCGUGGGGGAUAACGCAGCGAAAGCUGUGCUAAUACCGCAUACGAUCUACGGAUGAAAGCGGGGGAUCGCAAGACCUCGCGCGAUUGGAGCGGCCGAUAUCAGAUUAGCUAGUUGGUGAGGUAAAGGCUCACCAAGGCGACGAUCUGUAGCUGGUCUGAGAGGACGACCAGCCACACUGGAACUGCGACACGGUCCAGACUCCUACGGGAGGCAGAAGUGGGGAAUUUUGGACAAUGGGCGCAAGCCUGAUCCAGCAAUGCCGCGUGCAGGAUGAAGGCCUUCGGGUUGUAAACUGCUUUUGUACGGAACGAAACGGCGAGCUCUAAUACAGUUUGCUAAUGACGGUACCGUAAGAAUAAGCACCGGCUAACUACGUGCCAGCCGCCGCAGUAACAC